UUUGCAGCUACGGCGAUAUGACGCCUAAGACAUAUUUGGGCAUGAUCGUGGGCAGCCUUUGCGCCCUGACAGGUGUGCUGACCAUUGCUCUGCCGGUGCCUGUCAUAGUUAGCAAC
rfam:Trichuris muris Edinburgh genomic scaffold, scaffold35